rfam:Pongo abelii chromosome 17, whole genome shotgun sequence.
AUACUUACUUGGUAGGAGAAGUACUAUGAUUGGUAAAGGUGGACUUCCCAGGCUGAGGCUUGUCCCUUGCAUUGCGGAUGUACUGACCCCUGCGGUUUCUUCAAAUGUGGGAAACUUGAUUGCAUAAUUUGUGGUAGUGGGGACUAUGUUCGUGCUCUCCCCUG